rnacentral:rRNA from 1 species
UACGUAGGCAGCAAGCGUUGUUCGGAAUUACUGGGCGUAAAGCGUGUGUAGGCGGUUGGGUAAGUCUGGUGUGAAAUCUCCCGGCUCAACUGGGAGGGUGCGCCGGAAACUGCCUGGCUAGAGUGCGGAAGAGGAGAGUGGAAUUCCCGGUGUAGCGGUGAAAUGCGUAGAUAUCGGAAGGAACACCUGUGGCGAAAAGCGGCUCACUGGACCAUUACUGACGCUGAUGCACGAAAAGCUAGGGGGAGCAAACAGG